UCAGGAUGAACGCUGGCGGCGUGCCUAACACAUGCAAGUCGAACGAAGCACUUAGACAGAUCCUUCGGGUGACGUAUUGGUGACUGAGUGGCGGACGGGUGAGUAACGCGUGGGUAACCUGCCCUGUACAGGGGGAUAACAGUUAGAAAUGACUGCUAAUACCGCAUAAGCGCACGAUGGUAGCAUUACCAGGUGUGAAAAACUCCGGUGGUACAGGAUGGGCCCGCGUCUGAUUAGCUUGUUGGCGGGGUAAGAGCCCACCAAGGCGACGAUCAGUAGCCGGUCUGAGAGGAUGAACGGCCACAUUGGAACUGAGACACGGUCCAAACUCCUACGGGAGGCAGCAGUGGGGAAUAUUGCACAAUGGGGGGAACCCUGAUGCAGCCAACGCCGCGUGAGUGAAGAAGUAUUUCGGUAUGUAAAGCUCUAUCAGCAGGGAAGAUAAUGACGGUACCUGACUAAGAAGCUCCGGCUAAAUACGUGCCAGCCGCCGC
rnacentral:rRNA from 1 species